AGAUAAGUACCAUGGUGUAUUACUUAUUUCAGAGGGACUAAUCGAAAGCAUUCCAGAGAUGUAUGCACUUAUUCAGGAAAUUAAUAUUCUCCACAGCAACAAAGUUCCUGAGAACAAAAUUCCAUCUCAUCUUUCUCCACAACGAUAAUCUUAUUGCUUUCUGGAAUGCUCAAUAGUCAGUUAAACAUGGAAAUGCAAUUAUUGAUGUCAACAUUUUUAUCAAAAUUUUCAGAUUGACACCGAGCAACUCUUGGCCCAUUUAGUAGAAGCAGAAAUGAACAGGCAAACAAAAGAGGGGAAAUCAAGGGAAGGAAAUUCAGUUUAGUUUGCCACUUCUUCAGGUAUCAAGUGCGAGGAUCCCUACCAUCAAACUUCAACUGUGAUUGCUGCUGUGUUCUUGGUCAUAUUUGCAUGCACAUACUAGCAUCUGGGUUGAAUGGUUACAUGGCUUUUGCAACAAAUCUGAAGGAACCGACAAACAAAUGGCGGUGUGCUGCUGUUUCUCUAACAGUAUGCUUUUAGCUGACUGACUCGUUUUCAU